rnacentral:rRNA from 1 species
ACCCCNGGUCAGGCGGGACUACCCGCUGAGUUUAAGC